rnacentral:miRNA from 2 species
AGAGCCCAUUGUAGUCAAUGG